ACUUCAUGGCUAGGGAAUUGCAUGAUCUUUUCAUUAAACUUUCUCAUACUUCAUACAAAGGCUCCACAUUGAGUUGACAAAAAUUUGUAAUUUUGUCUGGAAAU
rfam:Capsicum annuum cultivar Zunla-1 chromosome 8, whole genome shotgun sequence